GACUGAAAUGUGCUUGUGUAGCACAUAUAUAAUAAAAAUGAUAAAAGGCUACUCUCUUUAGAAGGACAGACAACAUUGACCACCAUAGUGCCUCAUGCAGAGGAGACAUCCUACAAAUGUGUUGGGAAUGGAAAGCAGGUAAAGAUGUGAUCGAGAUGAAAGAGAGAAAUGGCAUUUGGAAUUCUCCCUUCACAGAUCAAAGUUAACAGUACAGUGAUACGGCAUCCAAGGAAGACAGAAAUAACUGAUUUCAAGAAAGCGAAAUUUCUACAAUUUACCAGUUAUUUAAAAGCUAGCAAACAAACAACGGCAUACUCACCUUCAUCUGUUGGGGGAAAAUUAUUUUUUUUCAUUGCUCACUUCAACAUGGGAGCAAUGAGAGAUAAGAGACGCUAAGAAAUGAGUGUAGAAAUGAAUAUUUUUGCUCAUUCUGCUAGAAAAUAUAAUACUUAGUAGAAACAGAUUCCUGAAUUACUACACUUUAAACAUGCAAUCACAUUUUACUAAUUAAUAUAUUAUAUGCUAUACACAUACUCUAAAUGUUGUAAGCUUAAUAUUUCAGAUUGUAUAAGAGAUUUUGAGGCAUGUUAAUGUACAUACAAAUAACAUAAAUAGGGUUACCAUCCUAAUCCAAGGGUUACUUAGAAAAGAAACCAAUACAAUUUUU
rnacentral:sRNA from 1 species